rnacentral:tRNA from 1 species
GCCUCUAUAGCUCAGUGGUAGAGCGCAGCACUUGUACUGACAUGCUGAGGUCCGUUGUUCAAUCCAGCGUGGAGGCA